GACGGACGAACGAACGAACGGACUGCAGCCAACGGGCCGAGCGAGUGAUGGUGGGGCGCAUGCGCUUCUGAAGGAGAGACCCAGCACUCGGGAAGAGAGAACUAAAGUAACUCUGUCCUAAAGCUUCUGACAAUGGGACAUAAAAAUACAGAACAGCUGGAGACGCAGAGAGCAGCUGUCCUUGAGUACCACAGUCAAGCAGUUAUCCUUUUACGUCUGACCCUGGACAGUGAAUGGUGGUGUGGGACGAAUUACUCAUGCACAGAGGACAUCACAAACAAGAUCCUUUUUUUACUCGGUAUCCACACAUAUGUAAUUCUAGCAGUUGUAACUGCAAUUGUAAUCAGUAAAGCAAAUCGUGGCCAUUUUUCCCCUUUUUAGCUCAGGGUCAUAGGAACCAAUAAUAUCUCCAGUUAUACUGUACUACCUCUACCACAAUCCCAGCUGACUCAG